UAAUACGAAGGGGGCGAGCGUUGUUCGGAUUUACUGGGCGUAAAGGGCGCGUAGGCGGCCAUCUUUGUCAGGCGUGAAAGCCCCGGGCUCAACCUGGGAACUGCGUCUGGGACGGGGUGGCUAGAGAUCGGGAGAGGAGCGUGGAAUUCCCAGUGUAGAGGUGAAAUUCGUAGAUAUUGGGAAGAACACCGGUGGCGAAGGCGGCGCUCUGGACCGAGACUGACGCUGAGGCGCGAAAGCGUGGGGAGCAAACAGGAUUAGAUACCCUGGUAGUCCACGCUGUAAACGAUGUGUGCUAGACGUUGGGGAGCCUAGCUCUUCGGUGUCGCAGCUAACGCUUUAAGCACACCGCCUGGGGAGUACGGCCGCAAGGUUA
rnacentral:rRNA from 1 species